rnacentral:rRNA from 1 species
UACGGGAGGCAGCAGUGGGGAAUAUUGCACAAUGGGCGAAAGCCUGAUGCAGCUAUGCCGCGUGUAUGAAGAAGGCCUUAGGGUUGUAAAGUACUUUCAUCGGGGAGGAAAAACAAAACUAAUAAUUUUAUUUCUUGACGUUACCCGAAAAAGAAGCACCGGCUAACUCCGUGCCAGCAGCCGCGGUAAUACGGAGGGUGCUAGCGUUAAUCAGAAUUACUGGGCGUAAAGAGCACGUAGGUGGUUUUUUUAAGUCAGAUGUGAAAUCCCUGGGCUUAACCUAGGAACUGCAUUUUGAAACUGAAAUACUAGAGUAUCGUAGAGGGAGGUAGAAUUCUAGGUGUAGCGGUGAAAUGCGUAGAUAUCUGGAGGAAUACCUGUGGCGAAAGCGGCCUCCUAAAACGAAAUACUGACACUGAGGUGCGAAAAGCGUGGGGAGCAAAACAGGGAUUAGAUACC